GGGGGUGUGGCUCAGUGGCAGAGCACUUGCCUAGUGUUCAAGAGGCCCUGGGUUCAAGGCCCAGCUCAGCCA
rnacentral:tRNA from 1 species